CCCCCCAGAUCUUCUCAAAUCUUUUCCCAGUAACUCCCAGUAAAUCCCAGUAACUCCCAUGCCCUCCCAGUAACUCCCAGUAACUCCCAGUAAAUCCCAGUAACUCCCAGUGCUCUCCCAGUGCUCUCAAACCUCCCAAAAACCCCUCAAAUCCCUUUCAAACCCCCUCCAAACUCCCCCAAACCCCCUCGGGACCCCCCAGUCUCCCCCCAAUUGGGGUCCCAGUGGCUCCCAGUGCCCUCCCAGUGCCUCCCAGUAACUCCCAGUCCCUCCCAGUCCCUCCCAGUAACUCCCAGUAACUCCCAGUGCCCUCCCAGUGCUCUUCCAGUGCUCUCCCAGUGCCUCCAGUGCACCCAAAUCCCCCCCAAAAUCCCCCUGGGACCCCCUGGGACCCCCCCAAUCUCCCCCCAAUUGGGGUCCCAGUGGCUCCCAGUGCCCUCCCAGUGCCUCCCAGUAACUCCCAGUGCCCUCCCAGUCCCUCCCAGUAAAUCCCAGUCCAUCCCAGUGCCCCCAAACCUCCAAAAAUCUUCCUAAAUCCUCCUGAAACCCCCUCAAAACUCCCCCAAACCCCCUCGGGACCCCCCAGUCUCCCCCCAAUUGAGGUCCCAGUCCCUUCCAGUGCCCUCCCAGUAACUCCCAUGCCCUCCCAGUAACUCCCAGUCCCUCCCAGUGCCCCCAAAUCCUCCCCAAACCUCCCCAAAUCUUCCUAAACCCCCUCAAAACUCCCCCAAAUCCCCCCUGGGACCCCCCAAUCUCCCCCCAGUUGGGGUCCCAGUGGCUCCCAGUGCCCUCCCAGUAACUCCCAGUCCCUCCCAGUAAAUCCCAGUCCCUCCCAGUGCCCCCAAAUCAUCCCCAAACCUCCAAAAAUCUUCCUAAAUCCCCCUCAAAACUCCCCCAAAUCCCCCUGGGACCCCCCAGUCUCCCCCCAGUUGGGGUCCCAGUGGCUCCCAGUGCCCUCCCAGUGCCUCCCAGUAACUCCCAGUGC